GCUGGGUGCGGUGGGUCACACCCGUAAUCCCAGCACUUUGGGAGGCCGAGGUGGGUGGAUCACCUGAGGUCAGGAGUUUGAGACCAGCCUGGCUAACAUGGUGAAACCCCAUCUCUAUUAAAAAUACAAAAAUNNNNNNNNNNAUUUUUGUAUUUUUAAUAGAGAUGGGGUUUCACCAUGUUAGCCAGGGCCUGGCUAACAUGGUGAAACCCCAUCUCUA
rnacentral:SRP_RNA from 1 species